rnacentral:tRNA from 1 species
GCGGGAUUGACGGAAUUGGCAGACGUGCAGGAUUUAGGUUCCUGUGGGCGACCGUGUGGGUUCGAGUCCCACAUUCCGCA